UACGAAGGGUCCAAGCGUUAUCCGGAUUUAUUGGGUUUAAAGGGUGCGUAGGCGGCUUAUUAAGUCAGUGGUGAAAGCCUGUAGCUCAACUACAGAACUGCCAUUGAUACUGAUGAGCUUGAAUAUACUUGAGGUUGGCGGAAAUGUGUCAUGUAGCGGUGAAAAUGCUUAGAUAUGACACAGAACACCGAUUGCGAAGGCAGCUAGCUAAAGUACAAUUGACGCUGAUGCACGAAAGCGUGGGGAGCAAACAGG
rnacentral:rRNA from 1 species